rnacentral:tRNA from 1 species
GCCGACUUAGCUCAGUAGGUAGAGCAACUGACUUGUAAUCAGUAGGUCACCGGUUCGAUUCCGGUAGUCGGCA